ensembl:lncRNA
UCAUAGAGUCCCCGUGAGUUGGAGGUGACUUGAUGGCACCAACAACAACAACGUGAAAUGAUUGUAAGUUACAUCUGAAGACAUAUAUGUAGACAUACAUGCUCUAGCUGCAAACUUGUGCCCCUUAAGCCACAGCAAACAUACACGGGCCAGGCUGCGCUUCACGGAAGGAAGUAAACCUCCUUCGACAUGAUGCACACGUUCUCAGGUACAGUAGUUCUUGCAAAUGGGCGCCAAACUGCCCCGCUUGGCAUUCCCUCGGAGGCGCCCCUGCGGGAAGGCAGCGAAGGCGGACGAGGCCGCCCCUCCCUCCUCCCACCCCGUUCCGGAGCACCUCCGGCCAAUGGGAAGCGGGGAGGGGAAAUUUGGGCAGCUCAGCAGCUUCCCGGCAUGCCUUGCCCUCCAAGAGCAGCAGGCUCAGCCAUGGUGCGGUCGGGGGUUCGAGUCCCGCUGGUCCGCGGAGGGGGGGGGGCGACGACGACUCGCAGGCUCCCUGGGACCGGGAUCCACACUCGUCGGGAAGGCGGGCGGGCAGGAAAAAGCUUUCGGAGGCUGGCCGUGGCAAGCCGUGGCGCUCGCGCCUUUCCGAGAGCGACCUGCCUCCUUGCGAGGAAGCGCGGGCGGGCUUGGGCGAACUCCAGAGGCGGAGGUGGUCGCCGCGUCUGCUGGCAGCCGCUUUCCCAGCCGGCGAUCGUCGGAUUCUGGCAAUAUAUAUGAGGACAGCAGUUCCCAGAAUUCUCAGCUUGUGUGGCCCCUGGCUUGUGGAUUUGGGGACCUGUUGUCCAAAACAGAACUUUGCAAAGCUCUUCUUUCAAUGCCUUGUCUUCUUCCAACCUGA